AGCAGCCGCGGUAAUUCCAGCUCCAAUAGCGUAUAUUAAAGUUGCUGCAGUUAAAAAGCUCGUAGUUGAAUUUCGGGACCAAUAUGUCGGUCGUGCCUCGGUACGUACUGGCAUCGUUGGUUUCUCCCUUCUGACGAACCAUGAUGUCAUUCAUUUGGUGUCGUGGGGAAUCAGGACUGUUACUUUGAAAAAUUAGAGUGUUUAAAGCAGGCUCACGCUUGAAUACAUUAGCAUGGAAUAAUGAAAUAGGACGUUUGAUUCUAUUUUGUUGGUUUCUAGGAUCGACGUAAUGAUUAAUAGGGAUAGUUGGGGCAUUAGUAUUCGAUUGUCAGAGGUGAAAUUCUUGGAUUUAUUGAAGACUAACUACUGCGAAAGCAUUUGCCAAGGAUGUUUUC
rnacentral:rRNA from 1 species